rnacentral:lncRNA from 1 species
CUACGUUGUUUUUCCCGAGACGCAAGGGAAGACCUUGGAAGACAUGGAGGGGCUUUUUGGUAAUUUGCUAUGGAAGUUUUCCAAACACAGGCACUUUCACAAAAACGACGUCGGAGAUGUCGCUCAGCUCCAAUUACACACAAAUGCCUAAAUUAUUUUUUACUAAUAUAAAAAUAAAUCAAAUAAAGAACUAUUCAACACUCUAUAUACUAUUUAGUACAUAAAUCUUCAAAUAAAAAUUUGAAAACAACCCAUUAAUUAAAUGAUGCUUCAGUUACAUUUCAUUUUUAUUCUAUGUUAAAAAUUGUAUAAUUAUUGCUUUCUAUUAUUAUAUAAUUUAGUAGAAAAUUUAAAAGCUUGGUCCUUAUAGUUUGAAUUAAUUAUUAGAACUUGAUAUUCACAUAAGACUUCUACAGAAAUUCUGAUAUGUUUAUUUUGAACUUUGUAUUGAUUUUAAGGUAGUGUUGCGAUUAUAAUCUCUAAUAUUUACUCUUUUCAUAUUCUCUUUCAAUGUAAAGUAGAAUUUACAACUUCUAAUUUUUCUUUGUGGACGUUUGUAAAUUUGGACUUCAAUCUUCUGAAAUUCGAAAAAAAGUUCUAAUCUUUCAAGUUUUCAAUUUUUUAGAAGGUGGUUAUCUCAAGGUCGAUAAGAACUUUCACAUUCUAAGAGCUUCAAAGGUUGAAUCACCAAUUCUUCAGAGCUUCAAUUCUUUUUCUUCAAAAAAUCUCGCUCUUAAAUGAAUGGUAAAAUGUCUAUUUAUAAAGGAUUUUCAUGCACUUUAAGUGAGUUUGGGUCCAGUUCCCUGAUAUGCACUACAAGAAAAUGAAGGUCUUUCGACCCACAAAGGCAUCGGAAGUUAUAUGAAAAAGCGUCAAAAAAUCCUUUUUCGAUACAUAAAUCCUCAUUGGGAUCAAAUUUGGAGAAACUGAGUCGGUAAAAGAUCUUCCGACGGAUCAAAUAUAGCGUCGGGAGGUCCCUUGACAUCUCUUGACGCUUUAUUUUGUGCGUUAGAAGAUCCUAUAUAUAUAUAUAUAUUUUUCAAAACUAAGAACGAGAUCUAAGCAAAAAAAAAAAUAUAGAAAAGCUAAGGCAAAAUUAGAGGUAGAAUUUAGGAUUUUAGAGCAAAAAUGUAAGUUAAAUAAAUAACUAACCGGAAGAGAUAGAGGGGGUGGUGACAUCCGAAGGGAGGCUGAGAACAUAAAGAAUAAUAACAAUAAAUCAAUACCAACAAAAUCAACAAUAAAAACAAAAUUUACACAUUCAACAAUAAAUUCAAAAUAAAAUGAACAUAGUUUACACAUUCUUGAUACAAAAAAAAUUAUAUUCCAGUGGGUUGGCGACGACGACGGAAAGUUAAAAAAAGGAAAAAUAAUUAUAAAGAAAAAAAAAAUAAGAAUGAGAUUUGCUUAUCGUUAACAAGUGGCAGCGAGGGAAUGUGAAGAUCAGGCGAUGGAGUUUGACGGCAAAGACCGGAUGGUGGACGGCGACGAGAAUCUUCUGCCUCUUUUGGAAGUCCGAAAUCUCUCUCUCAUGUUUUGGCCGCUUUUCAAAUCUAUAAAAACAGAUUUGGAAAAUGAGUUUUAAAGGGGAACUUCUGACGCCAUCCAUAAUGGCUUCAGAAGAAGUUAAACAAUGGAAACCAUACUAAACAAAUUUAUCAUAUACUCCUUAAAGCAAUGUCCAUUUCACAGCAAGCAAAUUCCGACGACAUACCUACUGUUAUUAGCAUGAAGGUUACCAAGUGAGCAAACAAAGAUGGACCAUAACUAUUUGGUGAAUCAUGUCAGAUCAUCUCCAUAUGAAGAUAAAUAAAGCAAAAUAUUUGUUGUCUGCUCAAGUUUUUUUUAUCUAAAUAUCCAGAAAUCCCACUCAUUGAAGUACAGUCGUGAGGAUUUAUAUUAGAGUGAACUAAUUGUAUUGUGAUCGUGAUAGAAUUCCAGUAUUUGUUCUAGUUUUUUUUUCAUUUUGAUUUUAUCAUGCUAUCAAUUAUUUAUAACCAUCAGGUAAAUUAGUUUUUUUAGGCUUCUUAGUUUUCCAGUCUCUGUUAAUUUUUUAAUUUUUUUUGU